ensembl:lncRNA
GGAAUACUGAUUGUCCCGUGACACGCAGGAGAGAGCAGGAAUGAAAGAUGGAGCAGAAGGACACUUCGAUCUUUGUCUGUUUUGCCAACUCUGGAGGUUUUAUCUCCUGCAGAGUUUCAGGUCAUGCGUUCACGGCCUCGGCAAGGACAUCGCAGGAGGGUCACAGGGAACCUAUCCCAGGAAGCAUCGGGCACAAGGCGGGGUACACCUUGGACAGGGUGCCAAUCCAUCACAGAGCACAAUCACAUACACAUUCACACGCCCAUUCAUACUCUACAGACACGCCAAUCAGCCUACCAUGCAUGUCUUUGGACUGUGGGAGGAAACCGGAGUACCCAGAGGAAACCCUCACAGCACAGGGAGAACAUGCAAAGUCCACACGCACAUGGCCCCGGUGGGACUCGAUCCCCAGACCCCGGAGGCGUGAGGCAAACAUGCUAACCACUAAGCCACCGUGCG